UACAGAGGUCCCAAGCGUUGUUCGGAUUCAUUGGGCGUAAAGGGUGUGUAGGUGGCGCCGUAAGUCAGGUGUGAAAUCUCAGAGCUCAACUCUGAAACUGCACUCGAUACUGCUUUGCUCGAGGACUGGAGAGGAGAUUGGAAUUCACGGUGUAGCAGUGAAAUGCGUAGAUAUCGUGAGGAACACCAGUGGCGAAGGCGGCUCACUGGCCCGGUACUGACGCUGAGGUGCGAAAGCGUGGGGAGCAAACAGG
rnacentral:rRNA from 1 species